rnacentral:rRNA from 1 species
UACAGAGGGUGCAAGCGUUAAUCGGAAUUACUGGGCGUAAAGCGUGCGUAGACGGUUACAUAAGUCGGGUGUGAAAGCCCCGGGCUCAACCUGGGAACUGCAUUUGUGACUGCAUGGCUGGAGUGCGGCAGAGGGGGAUGGAAUUCCGCGUGUAGCAGUGAAAUGCGUAGAGAUGUGGAGGAACACCGAUGGCGAAGGCAGCCCCCUGGGUCAAGAUUGACGCUCAUGCACGAAAGCGUGGGGAGCAAACAGG